GCAUUGGUGGUCCUGUGGUGAAAUGCCUGCUUGCCACGCGGGUAUCCGGGUUCGAGUCCUGGCCAGUGCA
rnacentral:tRNA from 1 species